UAUACCAGUUAAACUCCGCCAUUUUGCCUCUCAGUGUUCAAGCUUGAGCCCACGCAUCCAACUCCUGAGAUCUUACUGGGAAGCUGCUGAUCAUCAGUUUCAGGAAGUCAGCAUGGAUCAGCCUUACGUUCAUGGCCUCCAGGCCCUAUUCUCCUGCCUCACAGGGACCGGCCAGGAUCUCUAUCCUUACAGCACGUUGGAAUGUAUAUGCUCCUCUCCCCACAUCGCCUUAGGGAGCAGGCAGGUGUCAGGGGCAGCACAAGGACGGCCAACAGGACAGAAGACGGGUUGAAGAUCCGAGAGGCUGAGUCACUUCCACAAAGUAACACAGCUGAUUUUAAAUGCCUGCAUUCAGCAUCCCUGCAGCAGGCUCCAGGUGGAAUUCUAAUGGGACCAGCCUCCAGUCCCUGGACCUUAGCCGUGGAAGGAGAGAAGAGGACAUCUGCACCUCCUCUCAGAGAAAGCCUGAUGCCUACUAAAGGACUUGGGUGGUGGACGCAGUGACCCUCAGUCUGGAGCUUGUUCACUGAACAUUGGAGACUAUCAUUUGCGCAGAUGGUCUUGGGCCUCUAUGAGCAGCAGGCUGCACCCCACAGUGACCUCCUCAUUCUACUCUGAGGCAUCUUCAUGAAAGCAGAUGUCCAUUGAAAAGCACCCAAGUGCAGUCUCAGCUGAUGAACUUCAGAGGCGAUUGAGACAAAGGCUCUCGGUCCCCUCUGCCCUUGGAUGGUGCCUCUGGUAUGCACUUGGCCUCUGUGUCUUUAUUUAGACUGGUCACUUCACAACCCAUCAUGUCACCCCACCCCUAACCGUGCCCACUCUGGGUCCUCCCCUCAACUGCCUGACUUCCCACUUUGAGCUCAGCAAAGGCAAUAGAUGUUUUGUCUGCUUCGAUACCCUAAAUGCAUGGCGUGGAAGCUGGCACACAGUGGGCCCUUGAAAUUUGGGAGUGAAUAUGUAUAUAUAUUAUAUUCCAACCUCAACUUUCCUCACUGCUCCUCAUAGUAGGAAUGGAUUGUAAAACUUCCCAGAAUGUUCAAGAGGAGAAAGGAGAGAAAACAGCCUGGAAUUUGAGCUAAGGGGCCCACAGCCCAGCCACCAAGCCAUCUGUAAAAUGGGGUGGGAAUAUGACAUGAGCCACAGGGGUGCUAUGAGGGUUAAUGAGGUCACCGUGCGAUGUACCAUGCCAACAUGAAUAACCAGACCUCUUGAUAUCAUCAUUUUUGCAUUGCCUGGAAAGUGCCUGAUACACACUACAUACUCAACAAGUGUGAUGGGGUGUCCAGAGGAAACUGGUCUAUAGAAUAAUUUUUAUACCAGGCUAUACUUUCCUUUCAAAGUUCAAAGCUGUGUUUGCAUUCUGGAAUGGAGUCCUUGCUCCAGGAGGGAAGCCUUGUGUAUUAGGGUUCUCUAGAGAGACA
rnacentral:lncRNA from 10 species